CAAAGGGGGGACGUUUGAUACUUUCACUGCUCACAGACGGCAGGUACCCGUCUGGUUCUACGCGGAUUUGGGAUUGUCGGGCAACCUUCGGUGCUGGGAUAUUGCAAUAUUCUUGAAUAUGAAAUUAUAGCACGAAUCUUCAGUUAAUCUCUGCUUGUACGGAACGAAAUACGAUAAUAUAACAUGAGACGUGACACUAAUAUAUCGUGAUACUAUCCGCUUAUCAUUCGCACGCUCGGACUCAUGACCGACCGCGUGCGAGGAAAAAAAAGAGAUUUGCUGCUUUACCUUAUCAUCAUGUGGACUUUAUUAUAUAAAGGGCUAAUGCUAAAAUGUACACAAGAUAAGUUAUUAAAAAUGUUCAUUAUUGCGGUAGUAAUAAUUAAUUAUACACAUGAAUAGUCAUCUUCUACUAGAGAGUGAAUGAUGAUUCAAUUUUUUUUUUCGAGGGCUAUAACUUUUAAAUACCAGAUUCGACGCGUUUACUCGUAAUUAAAUUACAGCAGAUACACGGUCGUAUGAGACAAGGUCGGCGUAAACAACGGGCCGCCGUAUUACAUACUAAUCGAUUUGUCUUCUCUAGGUUCCUUUAGUCGCCCCAUCAGCUCUUGCCGUAUUUAAGCACCGAUUACAUCGAGACAUUUUUCGCUCUAACGCGCGCUUUACACAUGGUUCGCAAGACAGAAUCGUUUUACUUACGCACUAAUUAAGUAAUCGUAUUUUCCUUUUUAAAUGACGUAUCAGAUUUUAUUUAUCUAUGAUUAGGAGCCAAAAAACACACUGCUAGCACCAUUAAACAGUGCAAUUAUGUAGUUUCAUAUAAUCUUAAACGAACUAUAUCGCGCUGAAUGACAUUUCGCAAUUUAACGACACAAUUUGUUCAUUUUGUAAUAGCUAAGUUUUUAAGAAAUAAUAUGUCAUCACAUCGCCUUAUCCUUACAGCCACAAUAUAUCGAGAAUACAAUAUUACAAUCGCAACGUUUAAAUAACAGAUUUAAGUCUAUCAUUUGUCCAGUAAUGGACAGUACGGUCGCGCGUCACAAAUGUACACAUAUUUAUAUUGUGGAUGAAAGGAAAAACAUCUGGUCACGAAGACUAAAUAA